rnacentral:rRNA from 1 species
UAAUACGUAGGUGGCAAGCGUUGUCCGGAAUUAUUGGGCGUAAAGCGCGCGCAGGCGGUCCCUUAAGUCUGAUGUGAAAGCCCACGGCUCAACCGUGGAGGGUCAUUGGAAACUGGGGGACUUGAGUGCAGAAGAGGAAAGCGGAAUUCCACGUGUAGCGGUGAAAUGCGUAGAGAUGUGGAGGAACACCAGUGGCGAAGGCGGCUUUCUGGUCUGUAACUGACGCUGAGGCGCGAAAGCGUGGGGAGCAAACAGGAUUAGAUACCCUGGUAGUCCACGCCGUAAACGAUGAGUGCUGAGUGUUAGAGGGUUUCCGCCCUUUAGUGCUGCAGCUAACGCAUUAAGCACUCCGCCUGGGGAGUACGGCCGCAAGGCU